AACGAACGCUGGCGGCAUGCCUAACACAUGCAAGUCGAACGAGACCUUCGGGUCUAGUGGCGCACGGGUGCGUAACGCGUGGGAACCUGCCCUUAGGUUCGGAAUAACUCCCCGAAAGGGGUGCUAAUACCGGAUAAUGUCUUCGGACCAAAGAUUUAUCGCCUUUGGAUGGGCCCGCGUUGGAUUAGCUAGUUGGUAGGGUAAAAGCCUACCAAGGCGACGAUCCAUAGCUGGUCUGAGAGGAUGAUCAGCCACACUGGGACUGAGACACGGCCCAGACUCGUACGGGAGGCAGCAGUGGGGAAUAUUGGACACUGGGCGAAAGCCUGAUCCAGCAAUGCGGCGUGAGUGAUGAAGGCCUUAGGGUUGUAAAGCUCUUUUACCCGGGAUGAUAAUGACAGUACCGGGAGAAUAAGCACCGGCUAACUCCGUG
rnacentral:rRNA from 1 species